rnacentral:rRNA from 1 species
UACAGAGGCCUCAAGCGUUAGGCGGAAUCACUGGGCUUAAAGCGUGUGUAGGUGGAUGCCUAAGUACCUUGUGAAAUCCCACGGCUUAACCAUGGAAUUGCUUGGUAUACUGGGUGUCUUGAGCCACUCAGGGGCUACCGGAACAAACGGUGGGGCGGUGAAAUGCGUAGAUAUCGUUUGGAACGCCAAUGGUGAAAACAGGUAGCUGGGGGUGUGCUGACACUGAGACACGAAAGCCAGGGGAGCAAACGGG